UACGUAGGGUGCGAGCGUUAAUCGGAAUUACUGGGCGUAAAGCGUGCGCAGGCGGUUGGGUGUGUCAGAUGUGAAAUCCCGAGGCUCAACCUCGGAACUGCGUCUGAAACUACUCGACUAGAGUACUGGAGAGGGUAACGGAAUUCACGGUGUAGCAGUGAAAUGCGUAGAUAUCGUGAGGAACACCAGAGGCGAAGGCGGUUACCUGGACAGUUACUGACGCUCAGGCACGAAAGCAUGGGGAGCAAAAGGG
rnacentral:rRNA from 1 species